rnacentral:rRNA from 1 species
UACAGAGGGUGCGAGCGUUGCUCGGAAUCACUGGGCGUAAAGGGCGCGUAGGCGGCUGUUUAAGUCGGAGGUGAAAGCCCAGGGCUCAACCUUGGAAUUGCCUUUGAUACUGGCUGUCUUGAGUUCGGGAGAGGUGAGUGGAAUGCCGAGUGUAGAGGUGAAAUUCGUAGAUAUUCGGCGGAACACCAGUGGCGAAGGCGGCUCACUGGCCCGGUACUGACGCUGAGGUGCGAAAGCGUGGGGAGCAAACAGG